rnacentral:rRNA from 1 species
AGAGUUUGAUCAUGGCUCAGGACGAACGCUGGCGGCGUGCCUAAUACAUGCAAGUCGAGCGAACUUUUAAAAGCUUGCUUUUAAAAGUUAGCGGCGGACGGGUGAGUAACACGUGGGCAACCUGCCUGUAAGACUGGGAUAACUUCGGGAAACCGGAGCUAAUACCGGAUAAUUCUUUUCUACACAUGUAGAAGAGCUGAAAGACGGUUUCGGCUGUCACUUACAGAUGGGCCCGCGGCGCAUUAGCUAGUUGGUGAGGUAACGGCUCACCAAGGCAACGAUGCGUAGCCGACCUGAGAGGGUGAUCGGCCACACUGGGACUGAGACACGGCCCAGACUCCUACGGGAGGCAGCAGUAGGGAAUCUUCCGCAAUGGACGAAAGUCUGACGGAGCAACGCCGCGUGAGUGAUGAAGGUUUUCGGAUCGUAAAACUCUGUUGUUAGGGAAAGACAAGUACGAGAGUAACUGCUCGUACCU